rnacentral:rRNA from 1 species
CAGCUGUAAACUAUGUGCGUUAGGUGUGUCAGUGACCACGUGUCACUGAGGUGCCGAAGGGAAACCGUGAAACGCACCGCCUGGGAGUACGGUCGCAAGGCUGAAACUUAAAGGAAUUGGCGGGGAGCACCACAACGGGUGGAGCCUGCGGUUUAAUCGGACUCAACGCCGGGAAUCUCACCGGAUAGGACAGCAGAAUGAUUGCCGGGCUGAAGACCCUGCAUGACUAGCUGAGAGGUGGUGCAUGGCGUAGACGUCU